GACUGCUUUCUACUUCCAUGUUAGAAGCUGUUAAGCUUGAUUGGUUUGCUCCAACUUUUCCAUCUGUGGCUCAGCAGUACUGCCACACCUGUCCUAUUUGC